rnacentral:tRNA from 1 species
CAGGGCGUAGCUCAGUUUGGUAGAGCGCGGGGUUUGGGUCCUCGAGGUCGCAGGUUCAAAUCCUGUCGCCCUGA